UACAGAGGUCUCAAGCGUUGUUCGGAUUCAUUGGGCGUAAAGGGUGCGUAGGCGGCGCGGUAAGUCGGGUGUGAAAUCUCGGAGCUUAACUUCGAAACUGCAUUCGAUACUGCCGUGCUUGAGGACUGGAGAGGAGACUGGAAUUUACGGUGUAGCGGUGAAAUGCGUAGAUAUCGUAAGGAAGACCAGUGGCGAAGGCGGGUCUCUGGACAGUUCCUGACACUGAGACACGAAGGCCAGGGGGAGCAAACGGG
rnacentral:rRNA from 1 species